UGACAUUCUCUACAUGGGUCGCUAUUCUAAUUUUCUAAACCCUAAAGUCUUGGUAAUGUAGGGUCGAUUUAUCCCCAUCACUCCCCUAACUCCCACCAAAUGAUUGGUGCAUAUACACAUCCAUUCAUGCACAUACAUAACUCCGUCCUAAUUUGACUCAAAAUCUUAUCACUUUAUAAAUAUGACAAAAUCAGAAAUCAUAAACGCUAUAAAUUCAAGAAACAUAUGAUGAUUGAGAAAAACAUUAAUCAUACUAGAGAUCAUUAAACGUUUGGUAUCAUGAGUUAUCUUAUAUCACUUGAAUUUAGGUUGAUAAACCGUCUCUUUUUUUUUCUUUUUUUUUUGUUGGGAAAAUAGGUGAUUGCUCUUUAAAAGUCGAUAUAUUUAUUUACAUAGAAUUGGGGAAUUUAGGGAUAAGGAAGUUUGAAAUCGCAAAUUAGUAUAUACAUAAAGGUACAAACUAGUAUAGAUAUUGAAUUUUUUAUUUUUUAUUUGGUCGAAGUCUGAUCUCAUUGAAGAAAUCCAGAGAAAACAGGAUACAAACAGAGCCAAAAAAGCAAUAAUAAGGAGAGAAUGCUUGUGUGUUAGCUUCCCCACCAAUCCACAAAUUUAU
rnacentral:lncRNA from 1 species